UUUGUCCAGGCUGAUGUCGCUGAGUUUUUUUUUUUCACAACUCAUUCUCUGAAAGUCUUCCCUCCCUGUGUCAUUGUCUUGCACUUUCACAUGGGAGCCAGUGAUCCUUCACUCUUCCCAGUGAUCCCUCACUCUUCCCAGUGGUCUCCCCUUCCCAAUGAUCCCUCACUCUUCCCAGUGAUCCCUCACUCUUCCCAGUGGUCCCUCACUCUUCCCAGUGAUCCCUCACUCUUCCCAGUGAUCCCUCACUCUUCCCAGUGCACUGACCUGCAUCCCUCUACACCCAUUACUAUCUCCACAGCUAAUCACACAUGGAGAGCCAAUUGAUUCACUAAACCCUUUCAGGGAUUUCCGUUUGCGUCAGAGUGCACAAAUUGAACGUGAACGUGUGCGCACAAUAUGUGUGGUAUGUAUCGAUCUAUGCGAUAGAUCUUAAGGCCAUAUAUACUGUACAUUUAAUAUCUAUUCAUGCGACAUCUUCUUUUUAUCAGGCACAGGGGCAAUCAUCAUAUUAAUAACCAUUUACAACUGUUGCAAGACACAAGUGAUGCACCUUUUAAAGAGAUGCUGUGUGUGUGUGUAGUAAGGCGGUGAGCGAGUUAGCAGCGUGUGUGGGCGAGCAUGUUUAGGAGGGACGGGGAGGGAUAGGGUGGGAGUGGGCGGAAGUGACAAGAGUUGAGAACGAGAGAAGGAGACUGGCAUUGCGAACAAGGGCUGAAAGGCAAUCGGCUCUCGCAGCCGUGAUUCAUCGCGAGUGCGAUUGUCUGGAUACAGAGCGGUGUAAUAACUAUUGUGAGCACCAAUUAUGCGAUAUUGAUGUCUGUCACUAUUUUCCGACAAUAUGUUUCAACAAUAUUCUGUUUUCUGAUAUGAUUCAACAUCUGAUUUGAUUACACAUCAGUGGAUGAAUGAAUACAUAUGGGCUAUCUUUUUAAUCGGCGGAUGUUUAAAAUAUGUAUGAUGUAGACAAAAAUAAUGUCGAAUUGAAUUACCAAACAAUUAAGUAAACCCUCAUGUUAUGUCUUAAACAUUUCCAGCGUACUAAUUAGUGGACCUACUGCAAACUGAACACAAAUGUGGCCCACAGCAAUGUGAAAAUUCCUUGAAAAUAUUGGCAUCUGUACAUAUCACGCACAUUUCGCCAUUACGCGCAUUGUCUUUAAGAUCGAUAUUGCGUACUGUAUACUGAAUUCCCUCCAAUGAUUUAUAUAUAAAUGAUUUAUCAAAAGGAAUACUCAACACAUCACUCAGUAAAUCAUCCUUGGGCAUUAUUGCGCUUGAGUCGUGAGCUUCUUUACGCAUUUUGUUAUGCUCUCUGGCUCCACACGGAACCCUGGCGUCCUCCCGUUGCAUUUCCUCAGUGACGUAGUGCCGUAGUGACGUAGACGUCCACGUACAAGCCCAAUGUAGGUGAUGUUUUUCAAUGAAUGAGUCCCCCCUCCCUCACCCAUUACUACUACGGGCAUGUCUAUAAAAAGCCAACGAUGGGAGAGCCCGCUAAAUUUCACUAGUGUAUAUGAUACGAAGGGUGUCAGAGGAUAAAACAGAAGGGACAAUUCUGAUAGCAGUAGCCUAGAUAGUAGACGAUUAGUAGGCUACUUGGUUAGCCUCUUUCUCAUAAAUAUUUCUAGCAUGAUGUAGGAGUCAGGCUUAACUUCAAUAUUUACUGACGAGUCUUGCGACUGGUGACAAAUAAUGACAAGAGGUGUUGAACUGGACAUUGCUUUAAAUCAGGUAAAUGCACUGAUGAGAGAGAUUGCUAUGAGAGCACUACUUACAUCUUUAAGGACAGUGCAUCAACACCUUGGCUCUAGACUGCUUACUGGUAUGACUCGGUGAAAGUACAGUAACAGUCUACAGUCAUGGCUACUGAUGUCUGUCAAGCCUCUACAAGCCCAGAACGCAGCGUGGGAAGGCCUGCGGAGCAGUUGUGUCCACGUGCGCUCGCUCGCAUCUCCGGUGCUUUGAGGGUCAGAUAAAAGAAGCAAACAACUGAGAAGGAACAGCGAUGACUCUCCAGGAAACCACUGCAUUGGCGUACAUGCAAGCUCAACGACGGCUCAGCCAAUCAGAUCGCCUCUUCCACAGUUUCCACGGCGAACCCCCAUUUUUUCCCCCUGCUGCUGUCGCCAUGGCUACCGUGGCUUUAGAUUGUUACUGUAGCAACGACACCAUUGGUAACAGUCUACAGCCAUGGUCGCUAAGGGGCAGACAUCACAGUGAUGGAGCUAUUCUAUAUUAGUUUUAGAAAAUAGAAUAUAUAAGCCUUUAUUGUCAUUUUAUUUGCAUACAACGAAAUUUGGAUUCAAAAUUUUGCUGGCAUUGUUCUUUUUUUCUGCUUUGUUCGAAACUCUGUAUGUUAUAUGUAGUGAAAGUUCUAAAUGCAACAGUACAGGUGUGUCAUUCUUGAAGUAACAUGCACACAAUGAGAAGGAAAUUGUUAAUAGCCUGCUUUACUGGUUGCUCUUGGUUAGAACUCAGGUGCCGCUAUGGUGCUGUAGCCAUUUAAUUAAUCUGCUUUUUAAAGCUACAAGAAACAAGUUGGUAAAUAUGAUAGGUAAUAAAGAGAAAGGCUCUUCUAUGCUCUGUGGCAGCGCACAGCAGAGCCUUCAGAAUCACAUUGAAAAUGCUGCCACAGAUGACCAGAGGCACACAGAGCCUGUGAUGGGUUCAUCCACUCAUAACUCAUUUUACAUGUUGACUUACCAGAUAGAGACUCACUGAUAGGUUAAUGGGUCAGCUGUCCAUUUCUUACAGGACAGACAACUCCCACAGAGGGCUGUGUUAUUCCACAGUUUCAUUCCAUUCUGAGGACCAGUGUGCAAAACACACAUUCUGUUGGACAUCAGAGCUUAGCUGCUGAUCUUCACAGCAGAACAGUGAGAAAGGGUCAGGAAGAGAAGAGGGACUCAGUGAAGCACCACAGGUUGUCCAACAGGGCCAAAUCCUCUGCAUAAGAGAAAAAGGUCAAUCUGUCAGCGUGUUCGACCACACUUCACAGGGUACUGUCCACUCAGGUGUGUCGUGGUCCAGUUAGACAUAAGAUACAAUUAAAUAAAGAGAUGAAAGAAAUGUUUGUUUGUUUUUUUAAUAAAACAAAAACAAAACAAAAACAACCUCAUUGAUGAGACACAUAUGAUGUGAUUCAUACCUUCAAUGUAAAACUUCAGCACAACUAAUAAAAAAAGUAAGCACAAA